rnacentral:rRNA from 1 species
GAGGGACCACCCUCCAAGGCUAAAUACUACCUAGUGACCGAUAGCGUAUAGUACCGUGAGGGAAAGGUGAAAAGAACCCCGGGAGGGGAGUGAAAUAGAACCUGAAACCCUGCACUUACAAGCUGUGGAAGCACAUUUCUUGUGUGACCGCGUACUUUUUGUAGAACGGGCCAACGAGUUACGUUAAGUAGCAAGGUUAAGCACUUAAGGUGCGGAGCCGUAGCGAAAGCGAGUUUUAACUGAGCGUUCAGUUACUUGACGUAGACCCGAAACCGGGCGACCUACCCAUGAGCAGGAUGAAGCGAAAGUAAAAUUUCGUGGAGGUCCGAACCCACGAGCGUUGAAAAGCUCGGGGAUGACUUGUGGGUAGCGGUGAAAUUCCAAUCGAGCCCGGAGAUAGCUGGUUCUCCCCGAAAUAGCUUUAGGGCUAGCCUCAAGGUGAGAGAUACGGAGGUAGAGCACUGAAUGUCCUAGGGGGUAUUGCACCUACCGAAGACUAUCAAACUCCGAAUGCCGUCAUCUUAUACUUGGGAGUCAGACUGUGGGUGAUAAGAUUCAUAGUCGAAAGGGCAACAGCCCAGAUCGUCAGCUAAGGUCCCUAAAUGUAAGUUAAGUGGUAAAGGAUGUGGGAUUGCACAGACAACCAGGAUGUUGGCUUAGAAGCAGCCACUCAUUCAAAGAGUGCGUAAUAGCUCACUGGUCGAGUGAUCCUGCGCCGAAGAUUUCCGGGGCUAAAACUUACUACCGAAGCUACGGCAUCAGUAAUGAUGGGUAGGGGAGCUUCCCAUACGGGUUGAAGCAUGACCGUAAGGACAUGUGGACAGUAUGGGAGUGAGAAUGUUGGCAUGAGUAGCGAGAUGUGGGUGAGAAUCCCACAGGCCGUAAACCCAAGGUUUCCAGGGGAAGGUUCGUCCGCCCUGGGUUAGUCGGGACCUAAGCUGAGGCCGAAAGGCGUAGGUGAUGGACAACAGGUUGAUAUUCCUGUACUACCGAUAACCGUUUGAGAGAAGGGAUGACACAGUAGGAUAAGCUAAGCACACUGUUGGUUAUGUGUGCCCAAGCAUUGAGGCAGUCAAAGUAGGCAAAUCCGCUUUGAUAAUGCUGGGAUGUGAUGGGGAGCGAAAUUUAGUAGCGAAGUAGCUGAUUUCACACUGUCAAGAAAAGUCUCUAUCGAGGUUAAAGGUACCCGUACCGCAAACCGACACAGGUGGGUGAGGAGAGUAUCCUAAGGCCAGCGAGAGAACUGUUGUUAAGGAACUCGGCAAAAUGACCCCGUAACUUAGGGAUAAGGGGUGCCACCAUCAGGUGGCCGCAGAGAAUAGGCCCAAGCGACUGUUUACCAAAAACAUAGGUUUCUGCUAAGUCGCAAGACGAUGUAUAGGAGCUGACGCCUGCCCGGUGCUGGAAGGUUAAGGGGAUCUGUUAGAGCAAUCGAAGCAGUGAACUUAAGCCCCAGUAAACGGCGGCCGUAACUAUAACGGUCCUAAGGUAGCGAAAUUCCUUGUCGGGUAAGUUCCGACCCGCACGAAAGGCGUAACGAUUUGGGCACUGUCUCAACAACAGACUCGGUGAAAUUGUAAUUCCGGUGAAGAUGCCGGAUACCUGCGACAGGACGGAAAGACCCCAUGGAGCUUUACUGUAGCUUGACAUUGGGUCUUGGUACUACAUGUACAGGAUAGGUGGGAGGCUUUGAAACCAGGACGCCAGUUUUGGCGGAGCCAUCCUUGGGAUACCACCCUUGUAGUACUGGGACUCUAACCAUAGGCCAUGAAUCUGGUCUUGGGACACUGUCAGGUGGGCAGUUUGACUGGGGCGGUCGCCUCCCAAAAGGUAACGGAGGCGCUCAAAGGUUCUCUCAGUACGGUCGGAAAUCGUACGUAGAGUGUAAAGGCAAAAGAGAGCUUGAUUGCAAGACAUACAGGUCGAGCAAGGAUGAAAAUCGGACUUAGUGAUCCGGUGGUUCUGCGUGGAAGGGCCAUCGCUCAACGGAUAAAAGCUACCCUGGGGAUAACAGGCUUAUCUCCCCCAAGAGUCCACAUCGACGGGGAGGUUUGGCACCUCGAUGUCGGCUCAUCACAUCCUGGGGCUGUAGUAGGUCCCAAGGGUUGGGCUGUUCGCCCAUUAAAGUGGUACGCGAGCUGGGUUCAGAACGUCGUGAGACAGUUCGGUCCCUAUCCGUCGCAGGCGUAGGAAAUUUGAGAAGACCUGUCCUUAGUACGAGAGGACCGGGAUGGACGUACCUCUGGUGUACCAGUUGUCCUGCCAAGGGCAUGGCUGGGUAGCUAUGUACGGAAUGGAUAAGCGCUGAAAGCAUCUAAGCGCGAAGCCAACUUCAAGAUAAGAUUUCCCACCGCAAGGGUAAGACCCCAGAAAGACUAUCUGGUUGA